rnacentral:rRNA from 1 species
GACGAACGCUGGCGGCGUGCUUAACACAUGCAAGUCGAACGGUGAACCUGCUUCGGUGGGGGAUCAGUGGCGAACGGGUGAGUAACACGUGGGCAACCUGCCCCUGGCUCUGGGAUAACUCCAAGAAAUUGGGGCUAAUACCGGAUAUGACCGCUGGCCGCAUGGUCUGGUGGUGGAAAGUUUUUCGGCUGGGGAUGGGCCCGCGGCCUAUCAGUUUGUUGGUGGGGUAGUGGCCUACCAAGGCGACGACGGGUAGCCGGCCUGAGAGGGUGACCGG